AAUAGUCUAACGACUGAACCAGCAACUUGGAGGAAUGUAUAUUAUACUUGUAAGUAUAAGAUGGAGAAAUCCAUUAAAAUUCUAAGUAAGUACUUGAUAAUGACAUAAUUUACUUAAAUGUCUUGACUAAAUCAUGUGCCAGCAGUCGCGGCAAUACAUGGAAGACUAGUGUUAUUCAUCUUAAUUAGGUUUAAAGGGUACCUAGACUGUCAAAUAAACCUAAUUUAUAAAGGUACUUUUUGACUAGAGUUUAAUAUGAGAGGGGUUAAUAGAACGAGUAGAGUAGAGAUAAAAUUCGUUGAUACACUCUGUAGACUGGUAAAGGCGAAGGCAACCUUCUAUGUAAAAACUGACGUUGAGGGACGAAGGCUACGAUUAACGAACAGGAUUAGAUACCCAAGUAAUGAGUGCAGUAAAUGAUGAAUGCCAUAUGUAAGAUUAAUUUUAUGUAUAAAUGAAAGUGUAAGCAUUCCACCUCAAGAGUAAUGUGGCAACGCCGGAACUGAAAUCAUUAGACCGUUUCUGAAAACAGUAGUGAAGUAUGUUGUUUAAUUUGAUAAUCCACGGAAAACCUUACCACAAUUUGAAUAAAAAUAUUCUAUAUAGAGUAUUUUUACAAGCGUUGCACGGCUGUCUUCAGUUAAUGUCGUGAGAUUAUGAUUAGAUUCAUGAAAUUAACGUAAACCCUUAUUUUAUUUGUAAUAAAAUAGCUCUUCAAUCAUAUUGAAUUGUAUAACAGGGAUCAAGACAAGUCAUCAUGGCCUUAACAUUGUGGGCUAUAGACGUGCCACAUAGUCCUAUACAAAGAGAUGCAAAAUUGUAAAAUUAAGCUAAUCUCAAAAAAUUGGAUAUAAUAU
rnacentral:rRNA from 1 species